AACACAUCCUCACUCCCAACUCGUAACAUAUUGACGCUUGGUCAGGAGCCCUUUGCGUCAAUACUAUACGCACAGGGUACCCCUUUAGCGUUAUUUUUUGACGUCCUGGGUUUCCCAAUGACUUCUAUAGGAACGCCUGCGGCGUUGACAUUUGACGUGUUAAGCACGGGUAAAAUGAGAACAAAAAUAGGAAUAAAAUAAGCAUAAAAAUAAAGAAUUUGCUACAAUAAAUUAGUUAUGGCAGGGAUUGUCAUACUGUUUUUAAUGUGCUGCGAUUAUGUUUGGUUAUUCAAUGAUUAAUCAUUGCAAACGCAAUGCAAUGCAAUUAACAUUUUACACAUUUUUACAUUAUAUUUAUUUAAUUGUUUGUUUGUUUAUUUAUUUAUUGGUUGGUUGGUUGGUUGGUUGGUUGGUUUAUUGAUAGAUUUUUAUUUUAUUUUUUUUAUUAAUAAAUCCAACAAUUACUACCGCUGACGUCACUGUAAGGCGCGAUCCAUUGCGAUUUUACACUUGGUAAGUAGAACAGACAUCAAUAUAGACGGGAACAAUCCUUAAAUUUGCGUAGUAAUAAUCGUUCAAUCACGGUAAAAUUUUGUGUUUAGAACCUUUAGAAGUGUCUCACGGCAUUUCGUGAUUUGGUCACGAAAUUUAAUCUAUUUAUUCGUGGCAGGAACACGUUUAUUUCGUUAUUUUCGUAAUUCCAGCACGUUUUUUAAACUAAUGUAUUUCAAUUGGAUGGAUCUUUCGUGCAUAUAGCACGAUUUUUUCUGCCAGUCGGGCUGCAGUAGGGAAGCUAAACAUUUAUUCACAAGAUCUUAUCAAGACUGCAAUAUAUAAGAAUAAAUAGGAAUCGGCAACAAUUAACGAUCUAUGCCAGCGCAAGUCAAUAUUUAUCUGGUCAUUUUCAACUGGUUUUUAAUGUUAAAAGUCCCUCGCAGUCAACAGCUGUUUCCGGUGAGUUCUCAACUGCAGGAUCAAUAGCAUUCAGCAGUGAGUUUAACAACGCUCAAAUGUGGGUAAAAUAACAUUCAGAGAGGAGUUUUAUUAAAACAGCGUUCAACUGCAUGUAAGACAACCUUUUAGAGGUGAGUUUAACAACGCUCCACGGCGCGUGAGAUUAAGUAUUUUAAGCGUUUUCUGAUCAUGUAUUGCUUAUUAGACGUGAUGCAUGCUGGGUGUUAAAUAAUUUUUAUCAAAUGAUCGUUGAUGUUAAUAAAUAUAGAUCUAAAUAUACAUUUUACUUGUGUUCGAUUAAUUAAUAAGUUGUUUAAUUAUUAAUUUGUUUAUUUAAAGUCCUGUAAUAACUGUGACGUCAUCGAAUGAGACGAAGGUCCAUGGCUGUUUCAACUCGGAAGUUGAGAUGAAGUCAUGACAAGGCCCAUAUCUGGUAAGCAGGAAAACUUUCCAUGUCUGCUUUGCAAGCUUGUCCACCAAAAAAAGUCAGGUCACUGGAUAGCCAGUGGGGGAAAUCUGUCCUUAAAAGCAGAAAUGCUGGGCGUAUAAUUAAUUCUGCCUGUAUUGCAGUAAGUGAAAGUGUUCAUAUUUCAAAUGAAGUGCGCAUGUUUUUCACAUAAUAUAAGACUAGCACUAGGGAUGCACCGAUACCACUUUUUAGGAAUAUGAGUACGAGUAUUUGCAUUUUAGUACUUGCUGAUACCGAUACCGAGUACUUAAUAAUAAUAAUAAAAAAAAACAUAAUUUAAAUUUACAGGUAACAGCUUUAGUCAUAUACUUUAACAAAAAAACAAGGGACUAGUUUUACAGUUUGUUGUAAACUCUGCCUCUUUGGACAACACAAGAGGCAUUAACCCCUUACACGCUGCUCAAACAUAGACAUUUCUCAGACCGUGGUAUCGAUCCAUGGUAUGGGGGGACUUUUAACGAGUACUUUAGAAAAUGUGGUAUUGAAGCCGAUACCAGUAUUGGUAUCGGUGCAUCCCUAACCAAUAUGGUCUGGCUUUUACAAACAUAGGCUUAUUUCAUACAUGGAAGAAUCCAUAUUUAGCUAAAUUGUGUUGAAGAGUAUCAAUAAGUUGUGUUCGCUGUCAAGUAUUAAGAAAGUUAUAAUGUCAAUGGGAGAAUGAGUCUGGAAUUAACCAUUGAUUGUAUCCACCUUAUUUUUGAUGUAAAUGUUUGUGCCGCCAUCUUUAUGGUAUCGUAUUGCAAGGGACACGAGUGUGCUGUUUUGACUGUCUUUUUAAUGUUUAUUAUGAAAUUCAGGAAGACCGGUAUAAUUUUUACAGUUAGGGGUUGCCAUAAUAGCUGAUACAAACACAGUAAAUCUCUACAAAACAUAAUAUGUUGUGUAUGUAUGUGGCACACGUGCACUCAUGAUCUUUAUCCACACAUCCAUCCAGUAAAACCUUUCAUAGUGCUAGUGAACAAUAAACACAAUAAUUGUUCAAAAACAACUUCGAAAAUAAGGUUACAGUUCAAAAGUCAUAUGUUUUAUAAAAGAAUCUUUUAUGGUUACAGCUCAUUUACUUUUUCAUUUCAGGUGCGGAAACUUGAGGCUGUCGGAUACAAGUCAAUUGUAUUUACUGGGAAACGGGAUAAAAAGGACCUGCCGGAGAGCCUCGCCGUGGAGCUGCCAGAGAGCAUCGUCAUGGAACGGCCGGAGAAUCUCAACAAGGAGUCUGAGGCUGUAUUUGCAUUAAAUCUUGUUCCUCUGUCCUCUAGACUCUCUCCAACCUCUCUUGCUCCUAUUACUUUUACAACUAUUUUCCUCCACUUUCUUUCCCACCUCCUCUGACAUGCUCACUAUCACGUCUUUGCCUUUUCAAACUAUACCAUGGCUUCAAACUAUACCAUAAAGGGUUCCCCAAAUCUAACCCUGGAGGGCCGGAGCACUGCAGAGUUUAGCUCCAACCCUGAUCAAACACACCUGAUCAAGGUCUUCAUGAUCACUAGAAAAUCACAGGUGGGUAAAAUUUAUUAGGGCUGGACCUAAACUCUGUAGUGCUCCGGCCCUCCAGGGUAAGAUUUUGGGAACCCUGGAAUAAAGGGUAACUUUUUUCCUAUUACAUCUUACUCCACAAUUUGCUCCUAGUCAAAUCUAUCUUCAUGUAUAUUGAAUUCAUUUACCUAACCAGGUAAUUGUUAGCCAGUUCACAGUGUUUUAGAGGCCAUUGUCCAAGGGCUGUGGUCAAUAUAAAUUCCUGACUUAAGCUAAGAGGUCUUUGGGAAUACCAACCCAAUACAUUUUGGUUGAUUGACAAAAACAAGCACAAAUUCAUUUGACACUACUGGAAAGAACUGUAUAUCACUUGACAUAAAUAGGGACUCAUGUGAUUGUUACAAAGCAUGGCAUUCAUGUCUUAUUAAAAUGUACUUUUUCUCUUCAUCAUUUCAGGUUGUCGAUAAAAUAACUGGGGAAUUGAUAAAUAAGGGGAAAGCUGAAUUGGAAGUUCACUGGUGACCGUGCUCUGUGUGUGGCAAAACCUGGGAUGACACAUGGGAGCCUGCCAGCGAAUUCCAACACAAGUCCCACAUCCCAACCAGCUUUCAGCAUGACGGCCUACACCUUUUUAUUAUCAAGCACCUUUCAAUUGUUUUUGAUUGUCUUUGCUUGCUGUUCUUUAUUAAAGUUUUUGCAUAGUA